rnacentral:rRNA from 1 species
AGCUCCAGUAGCGUAUAUUAAAGUUGUUGCAGUUAAAAAGCUCGUAGUUGGAUUUCUGGUACGCUGCGCCUGGCCCGCCGCCCUCGAGGUUGGUGUGUGCUGGAGCGCGGUUGCCAUCCUUCUAGAGAACGUUUCUACCCUUCACUGGGCCGGAUUCGCAAUCUAGAUCAUUUACUUUGAAAAAAUUAGAGUGUUUAAAGCAGGCAAUUGCCAUGAAUACAUUAGCAUGGAAUAAUAAUAUAGGACUUUGGUUCUAUUUUGUUGGUUUCUAGGACUAAAGUAAUGAUUGAUAGGGAUAGUUGGGGGUGCUCGUAUUUAGCGGCCAGAGGUGAAAUUCUUGGAUUCGCUAAAGACGAACUUAUGCGAAAGCAUUCACCAAGGAUGUCUUCUUUA